rnacentral:rRNA from 1 species
UACGGAGGGUGCGAGCGUUAAUCGGAAUUACUGGGCGUAAAGCGUGCGUAGGCGGUUGCUUAAGUCAGAUGUGAAAGCCCCGGGCUUAACCUGGGAACUGCAUUUGAUACUGGGUGACUAGAGUUUAGUAGAGGAGAGUGGAAUUUCAGGUGUAGCGGUGAAAUGCGUAGAGAUCUGAAGGAACACCAGUGGCGAAGGCGACUCUCUGGACUAAAACUGACGCUGAGGUACGAAAGCGUGGGUAGCAAACAGG